GCUUUGAUCCAGAGAUUUCCGAAUGGGGAAACCCAGCAUGAGUUAUGUCAUGUUAUCGAUAUGUGAAUACAUAGCAUAUCAGAAGGCACACCCGGAGAACUGAAACAUCUUAGUACCCGGAGGAAGAGAAAGAAAAUUCGAUUCCCUUAGUAGCGGCGAGCGAAACGGGAAGAGCCCAAACCAACAAGCUUGCUUGUUGGGGUUGUAGGACACUCUAUACGGAGUUACAAAGGACGACAUUAGACGAAUCAUCUGGAAAGAUGAAUCAAAGAAGGUAAUAAUCCUGUAGUCGAAAAUGUUGUCUCUCUUGAGUGGAUCCUGAGUACGACGGAGCACGUGAAAUUCCGUCGGAAUCUGGGAGGACCAUCUCCUAAGGCUAAAUACUCUCUAGUGACCGAUAGUGAACCAGUACCGUGAGGGAAAGGUGAAAAGCACCCCGGAAGGGGAGUGAAAUAGAACCUGAAACCGUGUGCUUACAAGUAGUCAGAGCCCGUUAAUGGGUGAUGGCGUGCCUUUUGUAGAAUGAACCGGCGAGUUACGAUUUGAUGCAAGGUUAAGCAGUAAAUGUGGAGCCGUAGCGAAAGCGAGUCUGAAUAGGGCGUUUAGUAUUUGGUCGUAGACCCGAAACCAGGUGAUCUACCCUUGGUCAGGUUGAAGUUCAGGUAACACUGAAUGGAGGACCGAACCGACUUACGUUGAAAAGUGAGCGGAUGAACUGAGGGUAGCGGAGAAAUUCCAAUCGAACCUGGAGAUAGCUGGUUCUCUCCGAAAUAGCUUUAGGGCUAGCCUCAAGUGAUGAUUAUUGGAGGUAGAGCACUGUUUGGACGAGGGGCCCCUCUCGGGUUACCGAAUUCAGACAAACUCCGAAUGCCAAUUAAUUUAACUUGGGAGUCAGAACAUGGGUGAUAAGGUCCGUGUUCGAAAGGGAAACAGCCCAGACCACCAGCUAAGGUCCCAAAAUAUAUGUUAAGUGGAAAAGGAUGUGGCGUUGCCCAGACAACUAGGAUGUUGGCUUAGAAGCAGCCAUCAUUUAAAGAGUGCGUAAUAGCUCACUAGUCGAGUGACACUGCGCCGAAAAUGUACCGGGGCUAAACAUAUUACCGAAGCUGUGGAUUGUCCUUUGGACAAUGGUAGGAGAGCGUUCUAAGGGCGUUGAAGCAUGAUCGUAAGGACAUGUGGAGCGCUUAGAAGUGAGAAUGCCGGUGUGAGUAGCGAAAGACGGGUGAGAAUCCCGUCCACCGAUUGACUAAGGUUUCCAGAGGAAGGCUCGUCCGCUCUGGGUUAGUCGGGUCCUAAGCUGAGGCCGACAGGCGUAGGCGAUGGAUAACAGGUUGAUAUUCCUGUACCACCUAUAAUCGUUUUAAUCGAUGGGGGGACGCAGUAGGAUAGGCGAAGCGUGCGAUUGGAUUGCACGUCUAAGCAGUAAGGCUGAGUAUUAGGCAAAUCCGGUACUCGUUAAGGCUGAGCUGUGAUGGGGAGAAGACAUUGUGUCUUCGAGUCGUUGAUUUCACACUGCCGAGAAAAGCCUCUAGAUAGAAAAUAGGUGCCCGUACCGCAAACCGACACAGGUAGUCAAGAUGAGAAUUCUAAGGUGAGCGAGCGAACUCUCGUUAAGGAACUCGGCAAAAUGACCCCGUAACUUCGGGAGAAGGGGUGCUCUUUAGGGUUAACGCCCAGAAGAGCCGCAGUGAAUAGGCCCAAGCGACUGUUUAUCAAAAACACAGGUCUCUGCUAAACCGUAAGGUGAUGUAUAGGGGCUGACGCCUGCCCGGUGCUGGAAGGUUAAGAGGAGUGGUUAGCUUCUGCGAAGCUACGAAUCGAAGCCCCAGUAAACGGCGGCCGUAACUAUAACGGUCCUAAGGUAGCGAAAUUCCUUGUCGGGUAAGUUCCGACCCGCACGAAAGGCGUAACGAUUUGGGCACUGUCUCAACGAGAGACUCGGUGAAAUCAUAGUACCUGUGAAGAUGCAGGUUACCCGCGACAGGACGGAAAGACCCCGUGGAGCUUUACUGUAGCCUGAUAUUGAAAUUCGGCACAGCUUGUACAGGAUAGGUAGGAGCCUUUGAAACGUGAGCGCUAGCUUACGUGGAGGCGCUGGUGGGAUACUACCCUAGCUGUGUUGGCUUUCUAACCCGCACCACUUAUCGUGGUGGGAGACAGUGUCAGGCGGGCAGUUUGACUGGGGCGGUCGCCUCCUAAAAGGUAACGGAGGCGCUCAAAGGUUCCCUCAGAAUGGUUGGAAAUCAUUCAUAGAGUGUAAAGGCAUAAGGGAGCUUGACUGCGAGACCUACAAGUCGAGCAGGGUCGAAAGACGGACUUAGUGAUCCGGUGGUUCCGCAUGGAAGGGCCAUCGCUCAACGGAUAAAAGCUACCCCGGGGAUAACAGGCUUAUCUCCCCCAAGAGUUCACAUCGACGGGGAGGUUUGGCACCUCGAUGUCGGCUCAUCGCAUCCUGGGGCUGUAGUCGGUCCCAAGGGUUGGGCUGUUCGCCCAUUAAAGCGGUACGCGAGCUGGGUUCAGAACGUCGUGAGACAGUUCGGUCCCUAUCCGUCGUGGGCGUAGGAAAUUUGAGAGGA
rnacentral:rRNA from 1 species